rnacentral:rRNA from 1 species
GCUCAAAUUUAAAAUCUGGCGGUCUCUGGCCGUCCGAGUUGUAAUUUAGAGAAGCGUCUUCCGCGCCGGACCGUGCACAAAGUCUCCUGGAAUGGAGCGUCAUAGAGGGUGAGAAUCCCGUCUUUGGCACGGAUGCCUGUGCUUCUGCGAUGCGCUCUCGAAGAGUCGAGUUGUUUGGGAAUGCAGCUCAAAAUGGGUGGUGAACUCCAUCUAAAGCUAAAUAUUGGCGAGAGACCGAUAGCGAACAAGUNCCGUGAGGGAAAGAUGAAAAGCACUUUGGAAAGAGAGUGAAACAGUACGUGAAAUUGUUGAAAGGGAAACGCUUGAAGUCAGUCGCGUCGUCCGAGACUCAGCCUCGCCUCGGCUUGGCGUACUUCUCGGCCCGACGGGUCAGCAUCAAUUUCGCCUCUCGGAUAAUGGCGAGGGAAAAGUGACACCUUUACGGUGUGUUAUAGUCUCUCGUCGCAUGCGAGGGUCGGGAUUGAGGAACUCAGCACGCGCCCUCGGGCGUCGGGGCUUUCGCCCACGAUACGUGCUUAGGAUGUUGGCGUAAUGGCUUUAAACGACC